UACGUAGGGUGCGAGCGUUGUCCGGAAUUACUGGGCGUAAAGAGCUCGUAGGCGGUUUGUCGCGUUGGUCGUGAAAUCUCACAACUCAAUUGUGGGCGUGCGGGCGAUACGGGCAGACUGGAGUACUGCAGGGGAGACUGGAAUUCCUGGUGUAGCGGUGGAAUGCGCAGAUAUCAGGAGGAACACCGGUGGCGAAGGCGGGUCUCUGGGCAGUAACUGACGCUGAGGAGCGAAAGCGUGGGGAGCGAACAGG
rnacentral:rRNA from 1 species